rnacentral:tRNA from 1 species
GGCCGUGUAGCUCAAUGGCAGAGCGUCUGACUACGAUUAACCUCCUCUAGGAGUUGAUCACUGUAAUCAGAAGGUCGCAGGUUCGACCCCUGUCUCGGUCA